GCGUCAGUGGUGCAACUGUUAGCAUACGCUCCAGGUGAGUGAGAUCUGGGUUCAAAUCCCGGCUGACGGA